rnacentral:rRNA from 1 species
CUGCUGCCUUCCGUAGGAGUCUGGUCCGUGUCUCAGUACCAGUGUGGGGGACCUUCCUCUCAGAACCCCUACGCAUCGUCGCCUUGGUGGGCCGUUACCCCGCCAACAAGCUAAUGCGCCGCAUGCCCAUCCUCCGCCGGAAUCGCUUCCUUUUAACACCCGUGGGAUGCCCCACUGGUGUACCACGCGGUAUUAGUCCGGAUUUCUCCGGGUUAUCCCCCUGCGGAGGGCAGGUUGCAUACGUGUUACUCACCCGUGCGCCGGUCGCCGG